rnacentral:lncRNA from 1 species
CCUCAAGUCGGAUAUUAUAUUUGUGAUCAGAAUUGCUUUCAGAUACAGCAGUAUUCAUGUGUACAUUUGAACAAGCAUCUUGAUGUAAAUCAUCUAACAAUUUUUUAAUACCACUAUGUUCGAUAGGUCCAGCAGUAUCACUAUCAUCUUAAGUAUUAUCAUCGUCACGCACCACUUCAUUCAGAUCACCCUCUCCAUGCCAUAUCCAACAAGUAUACUUCUUAUCCAUACCAUAUUGUAGCAGAUGCUCCUCAACAAGUGUUAUGUAACGAUAUACCAUAUUGACACAUCUCUUACAUGGACACUUUAUCCAACUAGCACUGUCAGUCUUAUGCCGUGC